GGAGCAUGUGGUUUAAUUCGAUGAUACGCGAGGAACCUUACCAGGGCUUAAAUGUGGUCUGACAGCUUUAGAGAUAGAGCCUCCUUCGGGCAGAUCACAAGGUGCUGCAUGGUUGUCGUCAGCUCGUGCCGUGAGGUGUCAGGUUAAGUCCUAUAACGAGCGCAACCCCUACCGUUAGUUGCCAGCGAUUCAAGUCGGGGACUCUAACGGGACUGCCGGUGCAAACCGUGAGGAAGGUGGGGACGACGUCAAAUCAUCACGGCCCUUACGUCCUGGGCCACACACGUGCUACAAUGGCCGGUACAGAGAGCAGCCACUGGGCAACCAGGAGCGAAUCUAUAAAACCGGUCACAGUUCGGAUCGGGGUCUGCAACUCGACCCCGUGAAGCUGGAAUCGCUAGUAAUCGGAUAUCAGCCAUGAUCCGGUGAAUACGUUCCCGGGCCUUG
rnacentral:rRNA from 1 species